rnacentral:rRNA from 1 species
AGUGAACGCUGGCGGUAGGCCUAACACAUGCAAGUCGAACGGCAGCACAGUAAGAGCUUGCUCUUACGGGUGGCGAGUGGCGGACGGGUGAGGAAUACAUCGGCAUCUACUAUUUCGUGGGGGAUAACGUAGGGAAACUUACGCUACUACCGCAUACGACCUACGGGUGAAAGCAGGGGAUCUUCGGACCUUGCGCGAUUGAAUGAGCCGAUGUCGGAUUAGCUAGUUGGCGGGGUAAGGGCACACCAAGGCGACGAUCCGUAGCUGAUCUGAGAGGAUGAUCAGCCACACUGGAACUGAGACACGGUCCAGACUCCUACGGGAGGCAGCAGUGGGGAAUAUUGGACAAUGGGCGCAAGCCUGAUCCAGCCACGCCGCGUGGGUGAAGAAGGCCUUCGGAUUGUAAAGCCCUGUUGUUGGGAAAGAACAGCUGCAGAUGAAACCCCGGAUGUUCUGACGGUACCCAAAGAGUAAGCACCGGCUAACUUCGUG